rnacentral:tRNA from 1 species
UCAAAUCUGGUUCCUGGCA